GGAACAAAUAAUAGAUUAAUGAGACCAAAGACUACUCAUGAGAUUUACCCAAAACAGAUUAUAUCUCAUGUUUAAUCACUAUAGAGCCAGCGACAAAUUCCAGAAGAGCUGGCCAAGGUAAGUCUGCUCUCAGCGGGUCCAUGAGCACUGAAAGGCUGAUGACGCCCUGGAGCUCACCUUUCCGAAGAAGUUGAAGCUAAUUUUCAAAUAGAUGUUAUCUUUAUUAACAUACCACAUAUUUUAAGUAAAAACAACGACAUUCUUGCCUAAAACAAAUUGUACAACUACAUUCCGUGACACUAACUACACGUGACGUGACAAAUUUCGCAUGUCGCAGUUAUUAAGGACAGAACCUGAUUAACAUGGAAAAGAUACAUUUUAUUGUGUGUCGCGGCGUCACGUGUAUUUAGGACACGGUGUUAUUUAUAAAAUUUAUAGUGGAUUUAGGCAUCCACCAUGACACUCGCUGUGAGAAAUACUGCAAGCAGAGUGAUACAAAUGGUGAAACGGUUGGAGUUCUGUUAUCAUUAGAAUAACCGACAUUAGGAGUGAUUAGGAGAAAUGUACAGAAUAUAAUUGCAAACUUUUUUCCACAACUGUCUGUUAUUCCAAUGAGGGUGAGGUUAUCUUUAGGGUGCAACUUCCUGUGGGCUGCUGGCUGAAGGUGAAGGAGGCAGGUGAAGUUCUUCUGGAGGAGUUUGUUCUGAAGCCUCUACUGGCCUUGAACUCUUUGAGCCCUACUGCAGAACUCUACCGGCUGAAUAGGAAGAUAAUGGACAGUCCCUUUAACUAUCAGUCCAGGCAGAGGAUCUAGUGGCAGAUGUCUAUUUAGUGUCAUUCGAUGGACAUCUGUUCAAACUCCCAGCUUACUGUUACUUCAUUCUAGCAGCUGAUGUCAUCCAGCACACCUUUAACAUAGCGCUCAAGUCCGACAGGUUCAAAUGUUGCUCACUUGUGGUGCAAAUGCAAAACAUAAAGAUUUCAAUUCACCCAAAUGGAGAGGUACAUGUUCUUGUUAUUAUGAUGUAUGAUAUUUGUUUAUUAGCUGAUUUAGAAACUUAAAAUGAUAUAAUUAAAUAGAGUAAUAAAACAUUUGUUGAUUUUAGGUGGAGGUUAAUU
ensembl:lncRNA